GACGAACGCUGACGGCGUGCUUAACACAUGCAAGUCGAACGGAAAGGCCCUGCUUUUGUGGGGUGCUCGAGUGGCGAACGGGUGAGUAACACGUGAGUAACCUGCCCUUGACUUUGGGAUAACUUCAGGAAACUGGGGCUAAUACCGGAUAGGAGCUCCUGCUGCAUGGUGGUGGUGGGAAAGUUUCGGCGGUUGGGGAUGGACUCGCGGCUUAUCAGCUUGUUGGUGGGGUAGUGGAUUACCAAGGUUAUGACGGGUAGCCGGCGUGCGAGGGUGACCGGGAUCAUUGGGACUGAGAUCAGGCCGAGACUCCUACGGGAGGCAGCAGUGGGGAAUAUUGCACAAUGGGCGGAAGACUGAUGCAGCAACGCCGCGUGCGGGAUGACGGCCUUCGGGUUGUAAACCGCUUUCGCCUGUGACGAAGCGUGAGUGACGGUAAUGGGUAAAGAAGCACCGGCUAACUACGUGC
rnacentral:rRNA from 1 species